GAUGAACGCUGGCGGCGUGCCUAAUACAUGCAAGUCGAGCGAACAGAUGAGGAGCUUGCUCCUCUGACGUUAGCGGCGGACGGGUGAGUAACACGUGGAUAACCUACCUAUAAGACUGGGAUAACUUCGGGAAACCGGAGCUAAUACCGGAUAAUAUAUUGAACCGCAUGGUUCAAUAGUGAAAGACGGUUUUGCUGUCACUUAUAGAUGGAUCCGCGCCGCAUUAGCUAGUUGGUAAGGUAACGGCUUACCAAGGCAACGAUGCGUAGCCGACCUGAGAGGGUGAUCGGCCACACUGGAACUGAGACACGGUCCAGACUCCUACGGGAGGCAGCAGUAGGGAAUCUUCCGCAAUGGGAGAAAGCCUGAAGGAGCAACGCAGCGUGAGUGAUGAAGGUCUGCGGAUCGUAAAACUCUGUUAUUAGGGAAGAACAAAUGUGUAAGUAACUAUGCACGUCUUGACGGUACCUAAUCAGAAAGCCACGGCUAACUACGUG
rnacentral:rRNA from 1 species